rnacentral:rRNA from 1 species
UACGUAGGGUGCGAGCGUUAAUCGGAAUUACUGGGCGUAAAGUGUGCGCAGGCGGCCGAGCAAGUCGAGUGUGAAAGCCCCGAGCUUAACUUGGGAACUGCGCUCGAAACUACUUGGCUAGAGUGUGGCAGAGGGAGGUGGAAUUCCCGGUGUAGUGGUGAUAUGCGUAGAUAUCGGGAGGAACACCUGUGGCGAAGGCGGCUUUCUGGGCCCUACCUGACGCUGAGACGCGAAAGCGUGGGGAGCGAACCGG